AGAUUGAACGCUGGCGGAAUGCUUUACACAUGCAAGUCGAACGGCAGCACGGGACUCAGGCAACUGAGCCCUGGUGGCGAGUGGCGAACGGGUGAGUAACAUAUCGGAACGUACCCAGUCGUGGGGGAUAACUCUCCGAAAGGAGAGCUAAUACCGCAUACGUCCUGAGGGAGAAAGCGGGGGACCUGCAAGGGCCUCGCGCGAUUGGAGCGGCCAUAUCGGAUUAGCUUAGUUGGUGGGGUAAAGGCUCACCAAGGCGACGAUCCGUAGCGGGUCUGAGAGGACGACCGCACACUGGACUGAGACACGGUCCAGACUCCUACGGGAGGCCAGCGAGUGGGAUUUUAGGACCAAGUGGGGGCAACCUGACGUCCAGGCCUA
rnacentral:rRNA from 1 species